UGGGUCGUGGCUCAGUGGUAGAGCACUUGCCUAGCAUGCGGGUGGCACUGGGUUCCAUUCUCAGCACCACAU
rnacentral:tRNA from 1 species